ACGGGGGCAGCAGUGAGGAAUAUUGGUCAAUGGACGAGAGUCUGAACCAGCCAAGUAGCGUGCAGGAUGACGGCCCUAUGGGUUGUAAACUGCUUUUGUACGGGAAUAAAGUGACCUACGUGUAGGUUUUUGCAUGUACCGUAAGAAUAAGGACCGGCUAAUUCCGUGCCAGCAGCCACGGUAAUACGGAAGGUCCGGGCGUUAUCCGGAUUUAUUGGGUUUAAAGGGAGCGUAGGCCGUGCUUUAAGCGUGUUGUGAAAUGUAGGCGCCCAACGUCUGCACUGCAGCGCGAACUGGAGCACUUGAGUACGCAGGAAGUAGGCGGAAUUCGUCGUGUAGCGGUGAAAUGCUUAGAUAUGACGAAGAACUCCGAUUGGGAAGCCAGCUUACUGUAGCGCCACUGACGCUGAUGCUCGAAAGCGUGGGUAUCGAACAGGAUUAGAUACCCUGGUA
rnacentral:rRNA from 1 species